GGGGGACGACGGACGGACACACCCGGGGAGGGCAUCUCGCGCGUGGGGGGUCCCGGGGGUGGCGGCCUCCCCACGUGGCGCGUCCCCGGGGCAGCACGGCGGGUGAUGCGGUGCUGGGGGGGGUGCGCGGCCCCAUCACCCCACACCUCUCUGGGGUGCAGCGGGGACCUGUGUGUGUGUGUGUGUGCGCGUGUGUCCCGCAAAGCCCUGCCUGCUUCCUUCUCCACGCGGGACAGUUCCCCCCCCCCCCACGCGGGGAACCCACGCUGGGGCCACGUCCUUGGCUGGACACAGCCCCACGUCCACAUCCGCGCGUCCACGUGUCCACGUCCACGUCCCCACCUCCGGGCUGUGGCCUCUGGCAGCCGGGCGGGAUAAUUUUAGCCGGGUCCCCACCCUGGGGCCUGAGCCGGGCAGGAUGCGGCCCUGAGCGCUACCCGCACCCAGCAAUUACAGGCAGGGCGCUCGGGGCCACGGCCGUGGUGGGGCCACGCUGGGAGCGGGGAGGUGGCCGGUCACCCCCCCCGAGCACCGUGUCCCCCCAGCUCCGGCCAUGGCGGGGCUGCUGCAGGCCCUGGUGGGUGCCUCGGAGAAGGCGGCGCACAUCGCCCGGCUGUGCCGGCAAGAGGAGCCCCUCUUCCAGCUGCUGGUGGCCGAGAAGACGGGGGCCGACAGGAACAGGAGGUUCCUGCAGGAUUUCAAGACGCUGGCGGACGUCCUCAUCCAGGAGGUCAUCAAGCACGACCUAGGGAAGGAGUUCCCCGAGCUGAAGGGCCACAUCCACGGUGAGGAGUCCAACGAGUUCAGGAACGGGCAGGGGGAGAUGGUGGCAGUGCGGGUCUGCACCACGCCGGGAGAGACCGCGGCCCUGCUGCUCUCCGUGCUGGAGCCCGAGCGGGCGGCUGCCGAGCUGCUGGCGGCUGCUGUGCACCGGGACGUGGCGCUGGGGGACGCGGAGCUGGCCGGCGUGGCGCUCAGCAUCCCCCCCCAGGACCUGGCCAUCUGGAUAGACCCGAUCGACUCCACCAACGAGUACAUCGGUGGGCGCGAGGACGUGGCCCCCAUCGACGGCAUCGCCCCGGCGGGGCUGCGCUCGGCGCUGGUGCUCAUCGGGGCCUACGACCGGCGCACGGGCUGCCCCGUGCUGGGCGUCAUCAACGAGCCCUUCUUCUGCCGGGACCCCCUGACCCACAGGUGGCAGGGGAGGUACCACUGGGGCGUCGCAUACGGGGACACGCGGCUGUGCUCGCUGAGCCCCCCGCCUCUGCGCCCCACGCCCUGCGUGGUGCUGAGCCGGGCGGAGGGGGCGGCGGUGCGGGCGGCCCUGGGUCCCCUCUGCGGUGACCGCCUGCGCUUCGCCGCCGGCGCCGGCUACAAGAUGCUCUGCGUCAUCCUGGGGCUGGCGGACGCCUACAUCCUCUCGGAGGGCAGCACCUUCGCCUGGGACGCCUGUGCCCCCCACGCCAUCCUGCGGGCCCUGGGUGGGGGCACAGUGGCCCUGGCAGCGGCCCUGAGGGCGCGGCGGGUGGGUGACUCCGGGCCCCCACCUGAGCUGGUCUACAACCGUCCGGCGGAGGAGGCGGCGGGGGUCGAGCGCUGGGCAAACUGGGGUGGCCUCCUGGCCUACGUGCACCCCCAGCACCUGGAGUCCAUGCUGGCCGCGCUGGCCGCCGUGCCGGGGCUCUGAGCCCACGGUGGCCGGGAUCCCGGGGUGAUGGGUAUGGGGUGCCCAGGACCCUGGGGUGCAGGACACAGGGUGGCAAGGGACCCCAGGGUGAAGGGCAUGGGGCAGCUGGGACCCCUGGGGUGCAGGGUUUGGGGUGGCAGGGAGCGGGGUGGCCAGGACCCCGGGGUGCAGGGUUUGGGGUGGCAGGGAGCGGGGUGAUGGGUAUGGCCAGGACCCCAGGGUGCAGGCACAGGGUGGCAGGGCCCAUGGGACAGCUGGGACCCCCGGGGUGCAGGGUGUGGGGUGGCAGGGACCCCAGGGUGCAGGGUUUGGGGUGGCAGGGACCCCGGGGUGCAGGCACAGGGUGGCAGGGACCAAGGACCAUGGGACAGCCGGGACCCCGGGGUGCAAGGUGUGGGGUGGCAGGGACCCCGGGGUGCAGGGUCCCCAGGACCCCCCGGACGCAGCGUGCCCCAGGGUGCAGGACGGGGUGGGUGGGAGCUCUGGGUCCCCCCCGACGCGCCCCCCCCCCCCCCACGUCCCCCGUGGCGGGGCCGGCGGCUCCGGCACCAUUAAAGCGUCCCCCGCAGCCGCCUGUCUGUGCUGUCCCGGGCCGGGGGGGCGGGGGCGGGCCGGGCCCCGGGCGGGGCGGGGCGGGGCGGGCCCGGUGCUGCCUAUUGACGCGUCCCGGCCCCGUCACAUGAUCGCGGAGCGCACGGAGCGGGCGGCGGAGCAGCGGCACCGGUAUGCGGCGUGGCCCUCAUCGCCAUCGGCAUCUAUGCCCAGGUGGCCCUCGAUAAGGCGCUGGUGGUCAGCAGCGCCUCCACCUCCAGCACCCCCAUCGCCAUCCUGGUCCUGGGCAUCAUCAUCUUCUUCAUCUCCU